UUUAAUGUAAACCUUUCUUUCUAAUGAAAAAAAGGCAGUAUUUACAUUACUGUCAAGGAACAUCUCUAGUGGCCGCUCAUCAUUAUGAAAAUUGACUACUCUAAGAGGUGUGUGGAUUUUUUUUUUGUGUGUGUGUGUGUGUUGUGGUGGAGGGCGUGAUUGCAUGCUAGGGUGUGGGAAGGCGGGAUCCA